CCCCUCAGACAGGUGUUAACAAUUAGUCCCCAAAGUGGGAACAGAUGAUGGGGCUGCCAGCAUCCCUCCUCAGCCCAUAUAAAUCUUUGAGUUAACCUGCUGAGGGAGGGAGGGAACAUGCUGUAGAUUAGACUGACGUUUGAUGCCAGAGAAGACCGUUUGGUGCCUAUGUGUGAGUUAUUAGAAGCUUGGAGGGAGGACUCGGGAAAGCGACCCCCUCCAUGAAACAAGGUUUUAUUUAUGGAGCCUCGGAGCCGCCUGGAAAAUACUGGCCUGGGACAAUAUUUUCCUUGAUGAAGAAACCUGCCACCUUUAUCAUCUGGAAAUGUGACAGGCUGAACCAUCAUUCACUCGCGCAACAUUUCCCCCUUUUGGAUCUUCUAACGCAUUCCUGUGCAACAUGAAGCCCGUGGACCAAUUGAAGAUGCCUCCCUGAUUACUGCAGCUCUUCCUUGGAGAAUUAAUUCCAAAUGCUCCCUGUUUGCCACCCAUUUCUACCUUUGAUGGAGGAGUGUGGGGGUUUCCUGGUCUGUUCCUCUUCUCUCCCGUUUGAGCUCUAUGGUUUCAGACCUUCAUUCCCAGGGAACCCUGGCACCCCUAAAGUCUCGCUGCUCAGAGACUGGGGUUUGUGAAACAGAUGUGCUAAUAGAGGCCAAUGAGAACAUUGGUGGUGCAGAAAUGGGGUUUUAACAGAGAACGGGUGAAAAAAGAAACGCUGGGUUCAAAUGGAAAUAAAACUUCUUUUCCUUGGUGGCGAUGUGCCCUUUCCCAAGCUAGUAAAGCAGAAAAAUGGCCCUUAGAGUGAUUUAGGUCUUGUAGAACCUGCUCUGCUGACCUCUGAACUUUAAAGCCGCUGUCACGAUUCAGGGUAUGGGCAGAGUGAGUCAGGGACCGACAUGGUGAGACCAGGGUUGGCAGCAGUCCAAUUGGCGGGUCCACAGUCAGGAGCAAGUCCAAUGGAUGCCAGGAUGCAGAAUAACGGGGGAUGGGGAACUGGCACUGGCCUACAGCAUGGCAUGAAACCACAUUGCUGUUGCAAAGACUCAGGGGGAAAUGCAGGCCUUAUAUAGUCCUCCUGAGCUUGCCAACCAGGUGAUUGAUACUGUUAGUUUCUGUUUUGCCACUGUGCAGCUGCUUAGAGUCACAAGGCUCUAUUUACAUUCCAGAGGCAGUCCAGGCUGUUGGAAGUCUCACGGGAGAUGGGAGACGGAUGUGACGUCACUGGUUUCCUGUUUCUUUGUUUGUUUCAGUUGCUCUCUGCUUUCACAGAGAGAGGAUGUAUAUUUCUUUGCUGUCUGCGUAGUAAGAAAUAAAGCAUAGCGAUGUAGCCAUAAAUCUCAUCACUUCCCUGUGCUGGAAACUCUGCUGAACGGGAAUGUGCCUGAGGCCUCAUCAAAGGCUCUGGUCGUUAAUUAUCAUCGGAGGCGAUUCCAAAGGACUCAGCCGGAGGAAAAUGAGCUUUAUCAGCUUGGCCAGGUGGAGAUCCCGACAGAUACAACCGUCCUCUGAUCACGCCUGCUGGCCUGCACCUGCUUCCCCCGAGGCAAACACAGCAAGGGCCUGGUUCCUCCAAACACUUGCAGUGCUCAGGGCCUGGCUCCUGCAAACACUCAUGGUGCUUAUUACAGCCGCAUUGGGAAUCGGGCUGGACCCUGAGUGACAGUAACAUGUUGAGAACUAGACGGGCAAAACCCUUCCUUACCAGUACUCAACAGGCAGAUCCCAUGGUAGUUGUUACAGUCACGGCAGCCACCUUUGUUCUUGUAGAGUUGUGUAUGUCUUGUGGCACAAAGAAUGGCAGGUUAGAAAUAAAAUAAAUCGGCACAGCUUCAA